rnacentral:rRNA from 1 species
UACGUAGGUGGCAAGCGUUGUCCGGAUUUACUGGGCGUAAAGAGCGCGCAGGCGGUCGUUCAAGCCGCGUGUGAAAGCCCCCGGCUCAACUGGGGAGGGUCACGCGAUACUGAUCGACUCGAAGGCAGGAGAGGGAAGUGGAAUUCCUGGUGUAGCGGUGAAAUGCGCAGAUAUCAGGAGGAACACCGAUGGCGAAGGCAGGUCUCUGGGCCACUACUGACGCUGAGAAGCGAAAGCAUGGGGAGCGAACAGG